UUCACGAAGUGAUAAGCUGCUUGUUCUUGCAUUUAUAUGCCUCUUUAUACUGGUGUUUUCUCAAACGAAAAAUGGCCAAUGUACAGAAAGACCUGUUUCCGGCCAAUGUUGUUACAACUUUCAUGUUGUGGGCAAUAAAUGUGAGGCCUGUCCCCCGGGAUUCUUUGGAAACAAUUGUAUCAGCGCAUGCCCAAACGGAUCGUACGGGAAUCUGUGUGUAAGUCUAUGU